GCUGGCCGCCGCCGCCGUGCGCGAGCGCGCUGCUCCUCGGCUCCGACGGCCCGGCGGCCGCGCUCGGCCCGAUCCGUCCGCGGCAGCGUCGAGCCGAGCGGCGGCUGCGGCCGGAUCCCUCCGCCGCGCCCGCGAGCCCGCAGUGGCCCGCGGCCCGCGCUCCGAGGCGGCGACGCUGCGCGGCCCGGGUUAACGGCCGGCCUGGGCGCAGGCGCGGGCGGCGGCAUGGCCGGGGCGGCUCCGUCGGGGGGCGGCCCGCAGUGACAGACCCUGCGGCGCGGGGGGAGAUGGGGGCGGCCGCCUCCCGGGCGACGACGACGACGAGGAGCAGCCGCCGCCGCCGCGCACCGGCCGCCACUGGGGACGGGCGCGGGCAGGGAGCCUCCCCGUGAGCGGGGGGCCCGAGGCCUCUCGCCGCCCCCGGCCGCCCCGGUCCCGGCCGCCCCGGGCCCCCCCGG
rnacentral:lncRNA from 1 species